UACGUAGGGUGCAGGCGUUAAUCGGAAUUACUGGGCGUAAAGCGUGCGCAGGCGGUUUCUUAAGUCAGAUGUGAAAGCCCCGGGCUCAACCUGGGAACUGCGUUUGUGACUGUAUGACUAGAGUACGGUAGAGAGGGGUGGAAUUCCUGGUGUAGCAGUGAAAUGCGUAGAUAUCAAGUGGAACACCGUGGCGAAGGCGAGUCUCUGGACAUUUCCUGACGCUGAGGCACGAAAGCCAGGGGAGCAAACGGGG
rnacentral:rRNA from 1 species